UUGAACGCUGGCGGCAUGCCUUACACAUGCAAGUCGAACGGUAACGGGCCUUCGGGUGCCGACGAGUGGCGAACGGGUGAGUAAUACAUCGGAACGUGCCCGAUCGUGGGGGAUAACGAGGCGAAAGCUUUGCUAAUACCGCAUACGAUCUACGGAUGAAAGCAGGGGACCGCAAGGCCUUGCGCGGGCGGAGCGGCCGAUGGCAGAUUAGGUAGUUGGUGGGAUAAAAGCUUACCAAGCCGACGAUCUGUAGCUGGUCUGAGAGGAUGAUCAGCCACACUGGGACUGAGACACGGCCCAGACUCCUACGGGAGGCAGCAGUGGGGAAUUUUGGACAAUGGGCGCAAGCCUGAUCCAGCCAUGCCGCGUGCAGGAUGAAGGCCUUCGGGUUGUAAACUGCUUUUGUACGGAACGAAAAGCCUUCUUUUAAUACAGGAGGGUCAUGACGGUACCGUAAGAAUAAGCACCGGCUAACUACGUG
rnacentral:rRNA from 1 species